GCGGGUUGGAAAAUGGAUGGAUGGAUUUUAGCCUUUACCGGAGGAGAACGGGCAUCCCGGCUGGAUUGGAGGAUAUCCCAUUUUCCAGACAGGAUGCCAGUGUGAUAAUGCAAGAAAACUGGCUGGAGGGACAAGGAAAUGAAUUUACCCUGCCUGUAUACUAUAGCAGAUGGACUGAGAAAAGCCAUGGAUAUGAAGUACUUCCAUCCCCCAUACACCAGGUGGCAGUGGUCCUUGUAUAGGAAACUGGUUGGGACAUCUGCAGGGUUGCUUGAGAGAUGGAGUCUAGAAGUGCAGCCCUGUCAGGGUCCCUGGGGAUUGAGAGGGGGUGCUGUUGGAGGAGGACCUGCCUACUUUUCUUAUGGCCCCGAUAUGUUUCCUGGAGAAUAUGCCGUAUCACCGGAAGCAUAGUCGGGAGGCAACAGGCAACACUCAGUGGAGGUAGUGGAGGUUGUUAUGGGUUAUUGAGUGUACAAUGAAGGGCAAAACUGGGAAUUCUAUCCAUUAAAACAUAAAUUUAUGGCACUAUUAAUUGUGCAGAAAGUAAAGUGGUGUGAAUACUUUCUGAAUCCACUGUAUAUGGUGAGACUACAUCACAAAAGCAACCUGUCCUUCACCAUCAGACAACAUGCAAAUAGUUCAGUUAAUUAUUGAAUUAUUGUCUUUUAUUUACAUUUUAGUUUGUACUCUAUAAAUAAAAUUUACUUUUGCAUAAAAAGUCUUAUGACCAAUAAUCUUUAUUCCAUUACAUGCCAACAGGUAAAUAAAAUAAAUUGUAUAUUGUUGACAUGCUGUAUAGUCAGUAUUACAUUACACAUUUUCUUAGCAUGAGUCAUAAUAAUACUUUUACAAUAAUGAUUUUGAUGUGUGUAUUAAACACAAAAUUGUGUAUUGUUGAGGGAAUAGUAAUUGUUAACUGCAUUAAUAUUACUUUGGCUAACUGUUCACUGGUCAAUGCUUCUGACAGUUUGUUGACGUUUAUAUGAUCAGCCAAUCAUUUAACGGUAAAAUUAAGUCCUAAUUGUUUGCAGUGGAGCACCACGUUCAAGCCUGAUUCCAGCCUUAUCCAAUGCUACUAGCACGGUCUUCAGCUCCCUGCCACCCUAAAGUUGGAAUUUCAAGGUUCAUUACGUGGUUGGAUGGAAGAAUUCCCUGAACUGACAUCCCAUCCAGUGUUUGUUCUAACUGUGCUAUCGGAAUAGAUCAUAUAAUGAUUCAUUCAGAAAAUGGAUUAUCGUUAGUGUUCUCCUUUUCAUGUACAUUAAUAUGUAUUGUUGUUUGUACAGCAGCUGUUGAAUGUUGCUACUGAAUGUAAUAUAUUUCCUAUCUCCCUGGGUACUGCCCCAAGUGAGUGAUGAGUCACCUGCAGCGAUGAACCAAAUCUUUUUUUUUUUUUUGUCGCCUGGCAAAAACAGGAAAGCCGAGAGAAACGGUUGAAAAAAAAAGUAAAAAAAUCAUGAAACCUGAAAAUAGAGGAACAGUCCGCGGCUCCGCCUUCCGUGGGUUAAAUGAGGACACAACCGGCAGGAAACAAAUAAGUGUGAGAUGAAGAUUAAACGGCGCUCGUACUAAGAGAAGGAGAGUGUGAAAAAAACAAGCGAGGACAAAGUGAAAUACACAGUAUAUAAAGUUCGUGUCCGCUUUGACCCUGUCACAAAGGUAGCUUUAUCAAGCUACUACUGUACGUACAGAAUGUUGAUUGAAUUUGCCUAAGGUUCCUCUUUCUUUGUUUGUGUAAACUUUGCUCCUUCGAAUCGAAAGAAAGUUCGGCUUUUUUUUUUUUUGCGUUUGAUCUGUUAUUGUGACAAUUAUAUUAUUGAACAUAUCUCUUGCUGUCAAUUUAAAACAAUUCACGAUGGGUAAAUUAUUAAUUUAUAUAAACUCUUAAGUGUGCAUCCUAAGUAAUCUUCUUGUUAUUAAUUGUACCACUUGUAUGCAAAUCGGUUUCAGACCUGUUCUAUAACAAUAAAGCCUGAGCUGUGAUCAUUUUUGCAACCAUUUUAAGAGUUGCAGCUUUACCAGGCAUGCUUUUUAUAAACGUGCAAAGCGACUGUGACCUCGCGUCCAUCACUAUGCACACUCCUGCAGACAUCUACAGUCUCUCAUGCCGACACAAUUCAGAGACGCUCUUGUUACCCGCACUGAGACUUCUUUUGACGGCUAAGUAAAAACUGGUGUGGUUAUUUCAUGAGCAAACUAGCCUUUAAUCUACCAGUCAGCUCUUUUUUACUUGGCAGAUUUCCCCAAGUGAUGCCCGCAAUUAUGUGAAUGCCGUUUUAACACAAGAAUACAUAAUUUGGCAUUUAUGAUGUCAUGCCAAUAAUUCGUAGUUGACAUUUGAAUGCUUUAGAAAACCGAGAGUGGGAAGUUGGGGGGGGCAGUACAACACGUCGAGAACAGAGUGUACCAAGAGCAGCAAAACAUGCAACGUAUGGGAAACACCGAGGUCUAGCCGCCGAAAAUAACUUGUUCCUGAAAAGAAUGACUAUAAUAGCGCAGUGUGUCAUUUCUCUAGAACUGACCCUGGCAUGCCGUUCAACGGACAGAAAGUGCUAUCUUUAAUUUGAGCUAAAUCUUUAGAUGUCACACAAACAUGCUCUCCCAAAGCACGUACAAGCCAAAAUUGUUAAAGUUACACUGUAAAAAAUUACAGUAAAAAUACAGUAAAUUACCGUAUAUUUUUCACAGUAAUAAACCGUAGUACAAUUAAUGGUAUAAAAAUGUAUUUAAACAGAAAAAUGUAUGUAUAUUUACAUUUAAGUAGUAUUUUAGCGGCCAUUGUCAAUUAGUUGUUUGAAUGUGUAAGAAUAUUUUUUAGGUAACUGUUGUAUUGCCAUUAAAUCACGUUAAUUUUGUAUUAAAACACUGAAUGUUUGUAAUAAUACUGUAUGUACUAUUAAAGUUUUAAUGUCCAGGUUUUCUCAAAAAUAUAUUAAGUACCUUAUUUAGUUUUGUUGUAGGGCUAUGUUUUUUGGUUUUUUUUUUUCAUACAAAUUAUUUAUUUAACAGAUCCUUAAUAAAACGAUAAUGUUAAAUAUUGUUGAUUCUUUUAGUUCUUUAAACUUAAUCGAUACUAAAUCAGUUUAAGUAGCUUAGCCAAACACUGCCUUUAAUGCUGUAGGUAUUGUGAGGUACUGUCUUGUUUUGCUACUUAGUAAUCGAACAUGCAUGUUUAGUUUUUAAUUAUAGUUUUUUUUUUUUUAAUGCUUUAAUGAUUUUUGUGUUUGGGUGGUUUUCUCUUAGCUUCACACAUUUUUUCUUUUUAUUAGUGUGUAAAAAGUGGUCUUUUAUUAAACAAGAUGACAUUUAAAAUGUAUAUACAUGUAUUUUAAUAUACACGAUUCAAUUUGUAUUGUUCAACUAACGGCGACAAACUUUCAGCUCGCAUAUAUUAUGGUAAAUAAAUACAUAAAUAAACUACCAAUUCAAUUGCCUAUAUAUGUUGACGUUUAUCUGACUUCUGCUGGCAUUUGGCAAAACCAAACAUCCCCAAAUGCAUGAAGUGGGCCACAAAAUUACAUGCUUCAUUCUGUCACAUACGCUAUUUGCAUUCACACAUUCGCUGAAACUGUUAUUUUCAUUUAUUACAGAAACCGCUAAUGUCGACAACUCAGCAGUAUAAAUUCAAGAAGUUACACUUUGCUGUUUGCUCGGGGCGUCAUUGAAUUAUUCUUCCACAGCCAGCGUUCAGUAGCAGAUGUUUUAAUACUUCCGCCUUAUAAUUGACUCCUCUUUCGGACACGACGAGUGGCUACCUAAUGUGAUUGACACAUGUUCGUCAUUUUCCCGUCAUGCACGCCUCUCGUUCUUAUUAGGUCACGUGGUUGUUUAAGUAGUUGGCGUUUCAAAGUUGUCGAAGAGUUGGCGUGUUACAGAAAAGUUAUAAAGUGUGUUUAAAAUAGGGAGCAGUUUAAAUUGCUUAUUUUUGUUCUGAAAUAACAAUUACAAAUAUGGAACAGGACAGAAAUUGCACUCAGUUGUAUGCUUUCAUCAGAUCAGUUUUCCCAAAUUUGAACAAUGAAGAUUUGAAUGUUAUUGUAGAGAAGAUUCAGGAUUUGGGAGUGUACCACACAGAAGAUGUCAGGUACAUAAAGGAGGAAGAACUGCUUGGCGUUCUGAAACCAGUUCAAGCACGGAAAUUGAUUUCUAGCAAUUUAGUCACAAGUGAAUAUUUUAAUCCCAAUCCCUGUGGUUAUUCAACCCCUGUCACUGAAAUGUCUUGCUCCUUUUUGCAUAUUUCAUGAAAAUGAAAAUGUGAUGUUCUACCAAGUCAGUGACACAUGCUUAGCAAGUGAGGUAUCUGUGUCUGCUCUUCCAGCAUCACCGUGUAUCAUUUUUUGUGGAGACUCUCUGCUGACUGCAAGUUGCUUCAUGUUAAGUGUUGAUAAAAAUGUUGUCAAAGAGAAUAUUCCAGUAUUUUUAGAGGCCUUCGAGAUGAUGUUUGCUGCUUACUACAUUUUCAAUAUUCAGUAUCCAUCUGAUGUAGGAUCAACACUGGAAUUCAUACAAAGGCAAGUUUUAGUAAAACCCUAUAGGUAGCUUAUGCAUUUCAGUUGUUUAAUGGCAUUAUUGAUUACAUAUAUGUGUAGGUAUGUAAAAGGUGGUCUGAUAUAAUUGAUGAUAUUGCAUGUGGAUGGUCAGUUUUCAGAAAUUGGCUGUACUGGAAAGUUACAAGUCCCUUUUAUGGUGUGACCAAUGCAGAAGCAAUGUCCAACAAUUAACAACCGUACUGGUGCUCAGGUGUUUUGCCAACAUCAACCCAGAAAGAGGCACAAAAGUUCACCGGAGCAAGUCAAAGAAACAGUAUGCUGUAAACCCAAGAGUGCUCACCUUAAUUUCUGCAUUUGCAGAUUUUGAAUGGAGGCAAUGAAAUCAAAAGUAUUGACUGAA